rnacentral:lncRNA from 1 species
GGUCUCAGGCAGCUCCGUGCCCGGCAAGCAUGCGAAGCCCCAGCGCCCGAGCGCGUGCACGCGGGUGUCUGGGUUUGUCACAGCCUGGUGAGCAAGUUAAUCUCAGGCUCCCUGACACGUGGAAUAAAAUCGCGAUCCCGGAAAAAAAAAAAAAAAAAAAAAAGAAGAAAAGAGGAAAAAAAAAAAAAAGGCAGAGAGCAAAACGGACUCGCGCUCACCCCUUCCCACCCACGCGGCGCUGCGUGCUUCGCUGCGCCGGCACCGCGCGGGCGCGCGCCAGCCCUCGCCCGGGUCACCCAGCCCGCGGGGACGGACCCCGAAACCGGGCGGUGGAACUGGGUGAAGCUGGGUGAAACUGGGCUGCGUGGCGCCCAACCACCCCCGGAGCGCGUCGGGCCCCUUGCAGUGCGGAGCUUGCCGUGCGCCGCGGCACGAACUCGCAGCGGGCGCCUCAGAGGCACCCUGUUUGCGUCCCCGCUACGGUGUUUUGGGAGGAAAAUAAUAACAGCGCGGCUUUCGAGCUACCUUUUGCAGCACGAGGGAACGCCGGCACGCAGGGCCGGGCAGCGCGCACCCGGUGCCGUGCACCACACGGCCGGAUCCUCGCGCAGUGCCCCGGGAUGGGAGCGGCGGGAGCAAAGCCCUGCAGGUGGGGGAGCCCCGCACGCACCGCGGCGCCCCACGCCGUGCUGGGGCCGUUGGGGUGCUCCCAGAGCUGGGCAAACACCCUGGGCAAACGUCCCCAGGUCCCUUCUGCACGCAAAGGCCACCGAGGGAGGGGGUCCCCAGCAGAGGGGUGCAACGGCCACUGAAUGCUCACCCACCCCAGACCCCCGCACGGGACCAGGACAUCGCUCGGCGCAUCGCCCCGCUAACCCCGGAGCAGCAGGACCAACGCCAGCCUCGACGGACAAGCAGUGGGGAGCGGAGGGACACGGAGCACGCCGCGACCCCGCGAUUUACGCCGGGGGCUGCACCUCGCCCCUCCCGAGACGGAGCCCGCAGAACCACCCCAGCCAUUUGGGGGGGCUUCGCAGAGCAUCCCCCAGAGACCCGAGCCCACCCCGGCACCGGCACCCCCCGAGGACCGCGAGCGGGCCGCCCGGCGCAUCCCAACCCCGAAAUUUGCCGCGCUGGGGAGAGGACGGGGGGGGUCUCAGCGCAAGCCGGGGGCCACCCCGCAUCCGGGCGGCCCCACCACAGCCCAGCAUCAGGCAGCCGGCCCCGCGGGGGGGCCCCGCUCCGUCGCCAAGUGACCCCCCUCCGGCCCCGUCCCUCCUGCUCCCCCCAAAACGCUCCCGUCGCGAGCCCGGAAGUAGGAAACAGCCCUCCCCAGCGCUGCCCUGUUUACCAAGAGCUGGUUCCAAGCACUCGGGAGAAUAGCAGGAGCAUUUCAAGGCCCUGUUUCCACUCGGCUGACACACACUAUUUAUAGAAGCCCACAAUUCUCCCAGAGCUUUCCUCGGGAUCUCAGCAGAAAUAGCCUGCCCCGGGUCUCUGCUGCCUCCUCUAAGGAGGCCAGGGCAGCGCCGGCCCCCCCCCCCCCAGGCUCCCUAUAACCUUCCACGGGCUUCCAUCGCUUCUCCCCCGCCGGCCGCCCGCUCCCCGCGCGUCCUUGGCUCCCCCGGCCCCGCCGCGGUGCCAGCCCCUCGCCUCUCCCCCCCCCGGCCGCCUCCGGCUCCUCCCGGCCCGGUGCCGGCGGGCGCGCGGCGGCUUCGGUGGCGGAGGGAAGGAGCCGGGCUCCGGUUCGGUACGGGGAGCUGCUGGUGGUGGCGGUGGUGGUGGUGGUGGUGGGGG